rnacentral:lncRNA from 1 species
AAAUCAUUUCCUUACCUUAACUUCUUCAUACUUCUUUCUUGUACAUUAAAAAAUGUCAUCCAAAGCAGAUCUUGCCAGAAUAGGAAAGGAGGCCUUCGACAUACUUGAAGCAUAUCAGGGAAAAAAGACAAGGCCUAAUUCACACCCCAAGCAAGAGCAUAAACCGGCCUGUCUUUACCGAUACCAUCCACAACAGGCUCUUGUUUAUCAGGUAAAACCGAAUGAGAUUAUGAACUCCUAUGAGGUGUUGCAGUUUCACGAAGGUGUGAACAUUAAGAAUUAUGGCAGCAAAUCUCAAGCUAUACCUUAUUAGACUCUCUUUUCUGCACUGUGUUUAUAUGUAAUAUACGAUAUGCAAAUAGGCAAAGUUAAGUAUGCUUCCCUUUGUAUGACACAAAAGUGGAGUCAGUUGUAUACAUACUAGUCAUCUGGCAGUUUUAAGUGCGUAGAUGAAGUCUGUAACACUUUGUUAUAUGAAUUGGUGUUAUCAGAUUUAAUAAUGAAUUAGUAGUAUUCUUCAGCAACCCUCCAACCCCCCCACCCCACCCCACCCCAUCCUCUCGUCUUCUCUUCUUAACUAGAAAAAUAACUUACCGAAAUAUAUGGCUGACCAGAGCUUUGACGGUAGCUGAUUCCAUGCCUUUUGACCAGUUCUUGCUUCACUUCUAUUAAGGCCACAUCCGCUAUGCGCUCAAGCAUCUUGGAAUUUCUUUCUCUCAUAAGAUGAUAAGGCCAAAUCCCUGAGAGCUCCAAUAUCAAGCAAUGGAAUAACUUAUUAGCACUACGGAUGGAGGGUUGGAUAUAAAAUUUCAAAUCAGGCUAUUACGUGGGGAAAAAAAAAAUUUACACAUAAAAAAUUAAUUUUUUACCAAAAAAAAUAUAAAAUACCUUUAAAAAAAAGUUGUUGGGCCUCCACCCCCACCAAAAUCCGUCCCUGCUUAUACGAUACAUGUACUAGAGAAAAAAACCCGAAGGGUACAUAAUUUUAGACCCUUAUGG